rnacentral:misc_RNA from 1 species
GAUGAAGAACGUAGCAAAAUGCGAUAAGUAAUGUGAAUUGCAGAAUUCAGUGAAUCAUCGAAUCUUUGAACGCACAUUGCGCCCGCCAGUAUUCUGGCGGGCAUGCCUGUUCGAGCGUCAUUUCAACCAUCAAGCCCUGCUUGCGUUGGGGUCCUGCGGCUGCCCGCAGGCCCUGAAAACCAGUGGCGGGCUCGCUAGUCACACCGAGCGCAGUAAUACAUCUCGCUUUGGGCGUGCGGCGGGUUCUUGCCGUUAAACACCCCCUUUUUACCAAGGUUGACCUCGGAUCAGGUAGGAAUACCCGCUGAACUUAAGCAUAUCAAUAAGCGGAGGA